rnacentral:rRNA from 1 species
AAUAGAUACCCCGGUAGUCCACGCCCUAAACGAUGUCAACUGGUUGUCGGGGAAGUUAUUCCUUGGUAACGAAGCUAACGCGUGAAGUUGACCGCCUGGGGAGUACGGCCGCAAGGUUAAAACUCAAAGGAAUUGACGGGGACCCGCACAAGCGGUGGAUUAUGUGGAUUAAUUCGAUGCAACGCGAAAAACCUUACCUACCCUUGACUUGUACGGAACCCCGCAGAGAUGCGGGGGUGCCCGAAAGGGAGCCGUAACACAGGUGCUGCAUGGCUGUCGUCAGCUCGUGUCGUGAGAUGUUGGGUUAAGUCCCGCAACGAGCGCAACCCUUGUCAUUAGUUGCCACAUUCAGUUGGGCACUCUAGUGAGACUGCCGGUGACAAACCGGAGGAAGGUGGGGAUGACGUCAAGUCCUCAUGGCCCUUAUGGGUAGGGUUUCACACGUAAUACAAUGGCCGGUACAGAGGGCUGCCAACCCGCGAGGGGGAGCAAAUCCCACGAAAGCCGGUCGUAGUCCGGAUUGUUCUCUGCAACUCGAGAGCAUGAAGUCGGAAUCGCUAGU